GACAACCAACCCAUAACAGGGGGAUAACCCGGAGAAAUCCGGACUAAUACCGCAUAAGACCACGAUAUCGCAUGAUAUAGAGGUCAAAUAUUUAUAGGUUAUGGACGGGCAUGCGUCUGAUUAGCUGGUUGGCGGGGUAACGGCCCAACCAAGGCAUCGAUCAGUAGGGGUUCUGAGAGGAAGGUCCCCCACAUUGGAACUGAGACACGGUCCAAACUCCUACGGGAGGCAGCAGUGAGGAAUAUUGGUCAAUGGGCGAAAGCCUGAACCAGCCAUGUCGCGUGAAGGAAUGAAGGUCCUAUGGAUUGUAAACUUCUUUUGCAGGAGGGUAAAGUGAGCUACGUGUAGUUCAUUGCAAGUACCCUGCGAAUAAGCAUCGGCUAACUCCGUGCCAGCAGCGGC
rnacentral:rRNA from 1 species